AUGCCGCGUGUGUGAAGAAGGCCUUCGGGUUGUAAAGUACUUUCAGUUGUGAGGAAGGGGGUGUCGUUAAUAGCGGCAUCUCUUGACGUUAGCAACAGAAGAAGCACCGGCUAACUCCGUGCCAGCAGCCGCGGUAAUACGGAGGGUGCGAGCGUUAAUCGGAAUUACUGGGCGUAAAGCGCAUGCAGGUGGUUCGUUAAGUCAGAUGUGAAAGCCCGGGGCUCAACCUCGGAACUGCAUUUGAAACUGGUGAACUAGAGUACUGUAGAGGGGGGUAGAAUUUCAGGUGUAGCGGUGAAAUGCGUAGAGAUCUGAAGGAAUACCAGUGGCGAAGGCGGCCCCCUGGACAGAUACUGACACUCAGAUGCGAAAGCGUGGGGAGCAAACAGGAUUAGAUACCCUGGUAGUCCACGCCGUAAACGAUGUCUACUUGGAGGUUGUGGCCUUGAGCCGUGGCUUUCGGAGCUAACGCGUUAAGUAGACCGCCUGGGGAGUACGGUCGCAAGAUUAAAACUCAAAUGAAUUGACGGGGGCCCGCACAAGCGGUGGAGCAUGUGGUUUAAUUCGAUGCAACGCGAAGAACCUUACCUACUCUUGACAUCCAGAGAANNCAGCGGAGACGCAUGUGUGCCUUCGGGAGCUCUGAGACAGGUGCUGCAUGGCUGUCGUCAGCUCGUGUUGUGAAAUGUUGGGUUAAGUCCCGCAACGAGCGCAACCCUUAUCCUUGUUUGCCAGCGAGUAAUGUCGGGAACUCCAGGGAGACUGCCGGUGAUAAACCGGAGGAAGGUGGGGACGACGUCAAGUCAUCAUGGCCCUUACGAGUAGGGCUACACACGUGCUACAAUGGCGCAUACAGAGGGCAGCAAACUUGCGAGAGUGAGCGAAUCCCAAAAAGUGCGUCGUAGUCCGGAUUGGAGUCUGCAACUCGACUCCAUGAAGUCGGAAUCGCUAGUAAUCGUAGAUCAGAAUGCUACGGUGAAUACGUUCCCGGGCCUUGUACACACCGCCCGUCACACCAUGGGNAGUGGGCUGCAAAAGAAGUGGGUAGUUUAACCUUUC
rnacentral:rRNA from 1 species